UACGGAAGGUCCGGGCGUUAUCCGGAUUUAUUGGGUUUAAAGGGAGCGCAGGCGGAGGCUUAAGCGUGACGUGAAAUGUAGCCGCUCAACGGCUGAACUGCGUCGCGAACUGGGUUUCUUGAGUGAGUGCGACGUGUACGGAAUUCGUGGUGUAGCGGUGAAAUGCUUAGAUAUCACGAAGAACCCCGAUUGCGAAGGCAGUGCACGAGCCCUUUACUGACGCUAAUGCUCGAAGGUGCGGGUAUCGAAC
rnacentral:rRNA from 1 species